AAGGCAUUAACUGCAGUUCAUUUAUUGCUACUUUGGCACGAAAACUUUGGCAUUGCACUCCUCUACAGUUAUUCAAUAAAAGAUCUUUUGUUAUGAGGACCUAUUCACGGCCCUUGAGUUUGCUUCCUAAUUAAUAUUAGACUUCCUCACAGUUGUGCUCUGGAGUACAAAUGCUCACUUCCCAAGGAUGUUGCUGCAAAGGCACACUGAAUGUGUCUUUAAGUGCAUCCUGAAUUACUGACUUAUUAUUGCGUAAAUCCCUGAAGUCUUCACUUAGCCAAAAUUUCCUCUUAAGACAAUGGAUCUAUGGGAGUUGUCUCAUCAUUAACUGAACUCCAGCAGUUGUCUGGCACUCAGUGAACUAAGUCAUGGUCACUGCCCCUGAGAGUGAACCAUCUACAUGAGAGACAAAGACUAAACGAGGCUGAGAAGAUAAUGAGGCAGCAUGAGCUGGGCUCCUCGCCUCAGCACUGCAUUUUGUUCUCGAGGUGUUUGUGAAGGGAGAGGGGGACCUCUGGAACAACACCGGUUGCUGUACUGGCAUUAAAGGCAUAUUUUGGCACGCACUGUUGCUGACCGGCUCCUUCGUCGUGCUUUUCAGCAGAGAGGCCGAGACAGCAGAAAUCCAGCUCUGCCGCAAGGCACAGCAGCCACCGUGCGAAUGGCUGUGGGUCACGUGACCCUGCCCUGCCUGCCUGCUGCUGACCCGCAGGAGCCACGAGGAGGAGGCAGGACGGAGCAGGAGCUGUCAUUUGCACCUAGGAAAAGCAAGGUGCAGCGUCCAGAUAUCUCUUGCGCCCUGCGCUUUGCUGUGUGUGUAACGGCAGCAGAACAGCUCUCCCUGCCCAGAGGCUUCUCUUUGCUAGGGCAGCCAUAAAUUUUUGGUGGUGACGUUGCUAUAGCGAUGGUGUCCGAUCUCUCUCUGUUAAUAUUGCCCUUUUGGAAGGACCCUGAAUAGGCACUGAGGUGCAUUCUGGUGUAGGCUGCCUGUGGAGAGAUGCAGAGAAGUUCAAGCUGUAUUUGUUAUUCUCCUGAAGCACAGCAAAGCAGGUAAGCAGCAGGCACUGUUAGGUAGGAGACAGAUCCUGACGAUGUCAGGUCACAGAGCUGUACAUGUGAACCAUAACCUAGAGUCCAUACUGGGGCCUCAUCCUAUUCAGUCCUGCAAAUUUGAUAUAUCUUUUUGCAGAAGGACCAUUUGCAUACCAGAAGGUUUACUCACAUGAGCAUGGGAUGUUGGAUGGUCUUUUUAUCCGCAGCCUAGAAAAACGAAGGUCCCAAGCUUCUUCUACUGCCAGGGGACAUGUGAAAGCUUUGAGCACGUGCUGCAGAGAUAAGUAGAGACAUAUGCUUUAUGCCAGGCCAAGAUGUUUUUAUAAAGAGCUUCUGGCCACGUCUGGUAAAACAUUUAAUAACUUUUCUGCCAGCAGCCAAAAGGCAGUCAUAUAUUUAAAAGCAGCAAUAAAAGUUCCUAUGUGAGUCAGAGUCCUACAGAAAUCCUGCUAGUGAAUUUCCCCAUGGUAGCCUGCAGGACUAGCUGGAAAAAAAUACCACAGAAUUCUACUGGUAUUAAGUAUUUUUUAACAAGUCCUUGGAAGUGGCAUGGAAUGUCUCUGCAAAGCCCCUGAAACCAGAUUCCAGGCUGUGUGCAGCCUGAACAGCAAUGCUGGUACUUUUUACUAUAGCCACAAAUCCUAUUUCGCUCCCAAGGGAUCACAGAGAGGCUAGUUUCAGUGUGACCUUUAAGUGGCAUCUCACUGGCUUAUAGUAGACUAUGCAUUAGUGCGUAUUCCUUUAACCUGCAAUCCAGUGUGCUCAAAUGUCCCUACCGCAGAUGGAACAAAGUGCUACCCUGACAUGUGCGUGGCCUGGCCUCAACUCUCCCUCCUCCUUUCCUGCUGAGCUCUGCUCUUGUAGUGCUAAUGAAGUACAUCUUCUUUUCCUUUCAAAGUCCUCAGGUGAUCCCUUUCGGCAAUGAGACCCUGGGCUUUUUUGGAAAUGAAUCUCAUUAAGAUCCAAGGCCAUGAAAGCUUCUCUGCUAAUUCUUCCUGCUGCUAAAGCCUUGUCAAUAGCCAGCAUGCCCUGGUUUGGCUCUGCUGCAGGCAGCGGUGCUGGAGGCCCAGCCCUGAGCAGGCACUGGUAUCUCAGAGCAGCUCCCUCUGACUCCUGGCACACGUGGUCAGGGAUGCAGGCAUUUGCUGCUCUCCUGCUUGUGCAGGAGUGAUGCUAACAGAGUGAGAGGAGGGGUGAUGCACGUGUGCUUUGGUACUCCUCCAUCACUGUGCUGAAGUAGUGCAAGUUGCUCUCUGAUCGUAUUUUGCAAGUUGCUUCCACGCAGCAGUGCAGGUCUGGUUUAGAUGCUGAUCUUUGCAGCAUGUGGUGCUGAUCUGGGAGACUGCCAGAAUUCCCCCCCUCACCACCCCAGGACUCUGGCCUCCCUUUCCUGUGGCCUCGUCCCAGGCAAAGACUCUACAGGGUGCUCCUGCAAUGUGCCUGC